CAUCGCCGGAGGAUUAAGAAUAUGGGUUUACAGUGGUGACACUGACGGAAGAGUUCCUGUACUUGCCACUCGGUAUAGUUUAAGCGCACUCGAAUUACCCAUCAAGACAGCUUGGAGGCCAUGGUACCAUGAGAAACAGGUAAGUGGGUGGCUUCAAGAAUACGAAGGCCUAACGUUCGCUACGUUCAGAGGAGCUGGACAUGCGGUGCCUUGCUUCAAACCAAGCAGCUCUCUCGCCUUUUUCUCGGCAUUUCUCAGCGGAGUUCCUCCUCCGCCGUCGCGGUAGAGAAGCAAGUCAACCAUUAAUAAGAUGAUUUAGUAAUCUAAUUUUGAGUAUUUUUGAAAGAUUUUGGGUUUCGUUGCGUUAACUUGUCAAACACGGGAUAGGAAGAAAAAAAGGAUUGUAAGAGAGAAAUUUGUAUGUGAGUUAUAUGUUAAAUUCUAUGUGAUGAUCAUAAUGAUCAAAGAAAAAACUUUCACACUUAAAGAUAAUGUUUAAAUGAAAAAUAAAUAGUUUU